CGCAUGAAAAACUUGUGUUAGACAGUUACCAGCCUCACAGUGAUCUGACUCGUUUUUCUGUUUAAAACAUUCUGAAACUUCUAUGGAGACUUAUCUGAUGCCACCUAUAUAUAAUGACCUAGAUUUUAAAAACAGUUGGGAAGCAGACGUCUGGAAAUCUGCUGUGAAUUUUAACAUUUUCCAUACAAAGAUCGAGUGUUAACCUGCAGUUUGUUUUCCCAUUAGGAAAGACUGAAAUGCUUUCAGGACUUCUCAGCUGUAUAAUGAGGAUCAUCUUGUUUGGGAUAUGACCACGGAGUAACAACAGGGUCAUGCUUUCUCUGUCAGAUUCCUGUCUCAAAGGAGAUCCAGCAGUCCUCUUAGUAUGGGCUGGUGUUCUUCCAGUCUGUUCAAGACCAGCAUCAGAGGGGACUUCCACUUGAUUUAUUGUGACCUCAUGGCAGAACGUGCUUUUUUUGGACGAGGUAUGCAUCAAGGGCAUUGAGUGGUCAAUGGAACGAACAGGUGGAAAAUGAAAGAUCUGCAGCAGUGCAGAGGACACACAGAGCCUGAGCAGAAGGCAAGCAGAAGUUGGGGACAGACAGAAAACCAGAGGUGCCAGACUGAAGCUUUAACAUCACCUGAGUAACAUCCAGUAAUUUUCACUUAGCAAUAGUUUCUUAUAACUGCAAGAAAUAAGUUUUUCCAAAGCUUCUCAUCCAUUAAUGCGCUUUUACAGAGGAGAAUUUGCACCUCACAAAAGCCAAGAUGGUGUUGGUGGCAGCAGAAUACUUUGUAUCUAAUUAUUUUUUUUUUUUACUGGAAAAGGAACUACACUUUUUUAAUGAAUAUUGUAGUUUCCAAAAAUGGUAGUUAUUGCUUAUCAUAUAUUCCAUCAUUGUUUAAGAAUAACUCAAGUGAUAAAAACCCCUAAUCACAACACCUUCCAGAAGAAUAAAGACUUGACCAUCCUGUAGUUUACAAAGUCAUCUUCUCAACAAUUUAUAGUUCAUUCACUCCACAAACAUGACAAGAAUCAAUCUCCACAAGCUAAAUGAAUGACAUCCUCUGUGAACAUGUCAGCCCCCAGCCAUCUGCAGCAGGCCUGAGAAAACAGGCGGUGGUAUAACCCAGAAGGUCAAUGAACUGAAGCUUUCCGACCUGCACUCGUUUGGAGCUGAGGGAGAAGCAAGGACCUCCAGGCUGUGAGCUUUCUGAGCUAUAUCUCUAGCUGCACACCCAAUAACUGUCUAAAUGUGAUUCGGGGCUAUGCUAAGUCCUCAGUUUUUCGCACACAUUUGAGAUUUCCUAAUUACAAUUCCACACAGUGACAGGCAGAUUGAAAUUCCUAUGAUCCCUGUUGUAGUUGCUUUGCAGGCUUCCUUUAUCUGCACAAACAUUUCCUGUUCUGCUUUCUCAUCCUCCCCCAGUGCCUAUAAUGGCUUCCUAUUACACUUUUUUUUACCACUUCUUUCACUUGAGUCCAAAUUGUUUUUCACUGGUGACAGCUCUGCCUGAGAUAUUUCAUGCUUUAGAAAUACAUCAUGGCUUCUCACCAAGUGGGGAGGCUUUCUGUGAGCUACAAAUGUUUUAGGGGGAAAAAAAAAAAGUGUUUUUUGAUGCUUAAAUUUCUUGACUGCAUCUGAAUUUGAUGAGAUCUCAAGUGCAUAUGGGUCAUUUUAGUCUUGUGGUGGCACCGCUCACUUCUGCAUGAACAUAACAUAGUGCUCUUCUUGCACAGGAAGUCCUCUCCAAAUUAAAAUGAACUUUCUUUUAUCACUGCUUUUUGCCUAGGCAACUGCUCUGCUACUAUUUCAACUCUUUUGCAAGAAUAGUUCUGCAUGUACAAGUUGUAAAUCCCACCCUUUUGUAAUGUACACAUACGACUCAUUUUUACAGCUGUGUAGGUUAUUAUACAUACAUACAACACCCAUGGUGUGCUUUUGAUACUGUGUCUUCAUACCAGGCUUCAUACUUCACUACUAUCACGGUUUGCACAGCACAGUAUAGAAGGCCAGGCAUAGAAAUUCAGCUGGGGUAGCAAGCAUACCAUGGAGCUUACAGCCUGGCUGAGAAAGUUACAGACCACACAGCAAAAACUAUAUAGUGCCAGCUGAAAAUGAGGUCGUUACAGUCAGAGUCAAACCAAAAAAAAAAUGAAAGAGGAAUGUUAGAUGGGAAAGCUUUUGUUAUAGGGAGUAGGAGACACAAUGCGUCCUGAAGAAGAUCUGGGGAGCAAGCCUGUACUUCAGCCCAAAAGCACGUCUUCAUUGGCUGCUGCAUUCAGCCAACCCUGCUCCUUCUCUGUAGUGGCCUUCAUUCAUAUUAGUCACUUUUACAGCCUUUGCUUUGCAUUAUCUUGCUUUGUAGCCAUAAAAUUUAUGGAUAUUCUCCAGCUGCCAUCACUGGCCCUGUCCUCCUUGCCAGCUCUCCCAGUCUUCGUUUUUUUUCUGUGCUUUCCAUCUCACGUGUCAUAAUCACGUGCAGUUAAUCUGCAGCAUGUUUGGCUGCCAAUCACCUAAACUUUGCUUAUACUACAGCAAAAUGGUUUCUUCCAGUAACACCAAGAGGUGUAUUGGGCUCUCUUUAGUGCUCUUCACUACAGAAAUGUAGAAGCCUGGUACUUUUUAGCCUCUCAGAAGGCCCUUUGUGAAUUAUUAGUUUGUAGCAUGUAACUGCAUCCCUCUCCGUGAUGAUGAGGGACUCCAUCCCACACAUGCAAACACCUCUGCUGACAGCUCUCAAUUCUUAAGUAAGGGAGUUCUCCAGUAAGCUCAUCACUAAGUUCUAUCCCUUCCCAUCGUAACUGUCUCUGUUGUGUAUGGCUACCAAAUAAAGGGCAACUUUUUCUCUGUCCUUUUGCUGAAACAAGGGCCAGUUAUAUCUCAGAUGAGAGAGUGGAGGGAACAUGGCCACCUUAUUGCCCCUUCGUAGCAUUCUAUGUGUCACUGAGAGGAGCCUGCUGUAAACAUGUCUUUGUCCAGCUCUGAGGACUGUAUCUCUGGAAGGUAUCUACAGCUUUUCUCUUUAGAGGAAUUAUUGGAUACAAUACAGUUAAAGUAGGGGAUGCGGGUGGUAAUUUUGCAGACAAUAUGUCACUGCUUCUGCUGAAGGAAGGCUGAAGUAAACAAUAUGCAUUUUGCAAUGUUUUUUUCAAAGCAAGCAGUGAUCUGCUUUUUUUUUUUUUUUUU
rnacentral:lncRNA from 1 species